rnacentral:rRNA from 1 species
GCGAUCAUACUAGCACUAAUGCACCUGAUCCCAUCAGAACUUUGAAGUUAAGUGUCCUUGGGCGAGACUCCAGUACUAGGAUGAGUCGCCCUUUAAUAAAAAUAUGUUAUCAAUGUG